ensembl:lncRNA
GCGGCCAGCUCCUCCAAGAGCCAGUGUCCUGGGAGAGCCAGGAGGAAGCCACACGGCCUUUUCUGACGCAGCCUCAUCCAGCGUCUGUUCCACAGUAAGGGAAUUAUUGCUUACAGCCCGGACGCAAGGGGAGGAGUCAUAGAUCCCACCUCUCCAUGCGUCAGAGAAGGGUUAUGAGUGCUUUAAAAUCACGUCGUUCAUAAAAAUCAGAACUGUCACGAACAAGAGCCAUAGUGGAAAAGGAAAACUACAGGGGUUCAUACAACUUUGGUUAAAUGAGUGUCUCAGUGACGAUAAGGACGGUGAAGACGGAGGAGGCGUCUGAGAAGCCUUCACAUCCAUUUUUUUCUCCUGAAGCUGCUUCUGGUUGGAAAGUCACCAAAUUUCAUCAGCCUGGGCCUCGGUGUUUCCGCUUUCCAUCAUCUCCAUAGUCUCCAAGCGCCUAGAUCCUCGCGGCCUCGGUGUUUCCGCUUUCCAUCAUCUCCAUAGUCUCUAAGCACUUAGAUCCUCGCAGCCUCGGUGUUUCCGUUUUCCAUCAUCUCCAUAGUCUCUAAGCGCCUAGAUCCUCGCAGCCUCGGUGUUUCCGUUUUCCAUCAUCUCCAUAGUCUCUAAGCGCCUAGAUCCUCGCAGCCUCGGUGUUUCCGUUUUCCAUCAUCUCCAUAGUCUCCUAUGCCCAGAUCCGAGUACUCUGGGGACAGGAACUCCCAGUAUCAGUCUCGUUCUCUGGCCAUCUUUUCUGGCCUGUUUUGUCAGCGUUGGAUGGAAAUGUGUCCUCGUCCUCAUUCCGUCCUGCUCGUGGAUGUGAGGCAGGACCCCCUCCCGGAGCCUCUCCUGCCCACUCCAGUAAGCUGUUGUGAGAAUUUGACAGAAUCAUGCAAGUGAGAGGAUUACAAACGUUAAAGCAUUACAGAAGGUGUUGUUAUAAUGAAACGUGGAUCCUGGGCUCACGUUGGGGUGGGGCUGAGCCUCCUCCAGUCCUUCUGCUUGCGUGUGUAACCUCUGGUGAAAUACUGAUAAUCGUUGCUAAGUGGCUCAGGCUUCUUCACAUCCUGUGUUUCUCCUGUGGCUUUCACAGGGCAGGCCCGUCUGCCGUGAACUGAUGCUGCUGAGAAGGGUGAGGUGGGAAGACACGUAGCUACAAAGGACCUGGGGGCUCUGGUUAAGUGAGACGUCUUAGAUCUGAGCUCACCGCUCCAACCCAGAAAGGAACAACAGCAACGAUGGUACGAGACCCGUAGUACAGUCAGCUGGCGGCUCAGCACCGUGGUCUCAUCACCAAAGUUCCCCUUCAGCCACGUUCCGUCUCUCGCAGCCACCUUAUCAGGAACAUCAAAUUUAACUGAGGUCCUACUGGCUCAGUGACAUCUCAGCACAUAGUUCUGCUUAUGAAAUAGGCACCAAACCCUACACCAAGUAGACAACCAUGAGGAAUCCACAGAUUCUUCCUUAAGAAACUCACAUGCAGAUGAACACACACAAAGAAUGUUCACUGUGGUUAUUGCUGCAGGAGAGGUGUGUUCAAGGUGCCAUGGGAGGACAGAAGAUGGAGCAACGUGCCUGACUCCGUGCAGGAAGUCAAGGAGGAGCUGGCACGUGAGCCGGGCCUUCAGGGAUGGGCAGAUGUUCAGAGCAGGCUGUGGGGCCCACCCAGCUGGUUCAGAUCCCGACCCUGCCACUUCCCAACUACACAACGUGGCUGGUUACUUACUUUUUGAUGCCCGGUGUCCUUCCUCCACAAUGGAUGUGGUGGUACUGACUGAGCCGCCUCAGGGGUCACCGUGAGCAGAAGGGAGUCUAGGCGAGUGUGGCCCUCAGAACA